CUCGGAACAGUUCCAAAUAGAAAUAACAGUGCAGAAAUAUAGGCAUGCUUUCAAGUUAAUAGUUGAAAAUAGUAAAAUAGAUAAAAUUUGAACAAUAUGAAGAAUACUCUUCUACUUCUACAUGCCAAUACACAUGUUGUAUGUGAUGCACAAUGUUGACAGUCUCAUGUGCUCACGCUCUCAAAUGCUCAACCACUCGAACUAUAUAUGGAACACACGACCUAGGGAAGAUCCAUCCCGAAAUAUAUACAUCACUGACCACUACUCACCCAGUACCGAGGAAGGCUAAUCCAGCCCCUGGAGAAGAUCCAUCUAUAGGUAUAAAAUGAUUUGGACAAGAUUCAUGUCUAGGGAAGAUCUAUCCCUCAAUAAUAUCAACCACGCUCACUAUAAGUUGUGUACAGACUCCAAAGGGGCUUCUUUAGCCCAAGCGCUAUCAUAAAAUCUGUAUAACCCCUGUGGCGUGCAACCCGAUCUAAUUCACACUCAUAAUCAGGUUCUCGACCUCACUCAGUUAUCAAUCUCUCUAGUCUAACUCACGAGCUCAUAAUCUCUUGAAUACUACCCUGAAAAAAUGAUAUGAUGUAUCAAUAAAUAACAAAUGAUACUGAGAUAUGAUAUGAAAUGAAUGAAUAUGACUGGGUAUGAAAUAUCAAUGAAAUCAGUAAGGUGAAAGCAAGAAACGACCACUAUAGGUCCCGAUAGUACCGGCAUAAAGCAUAAACAUGAUAUAUAGCAUGAUUGAUAGCUCAAUUACUUUAUCACAUGAUGAAAACACGGGUCAACAAGAUAGAAUCACUAUACGGUGCCAUGGAAUCAACCAAAUCACUAGUCUCAUGCCCACACCCAUCACUUGGCAUGUGCGUCACGUCAAUACCUAUCACAUAACGUAUAAUCUGGGGUUUCGAACCCUCAGAACCAUGUUUGAAAGUGUUACUUACCUCAAUCCGAGUAAAACUCUACUUCAAAUGUCUUUACCUCUCAAAUCGGUCUCCAAACGUCUUGAAUCUAGCCACAAGCAGUGCAAUACAAUUAACAUAGGCUAAAUGGAACAUAGGCUAAAGGGAUCAAUUCCACAAAGUCACAAAACCCAAAAGUCCAUUCACUCACGAGUCUAACCAUACUAAAUUUAUCAAAAUUCAAAACAAAACGGCCUUUUAAAUCUCCAAAAUUCACUCUCCAAAUCGCUAGUCGCAAACCCCAAAUUCCAUCUCAAAAGCACACCAACUAGGAGGAAAAUCAGUGGGGAAAUAUUAUUAUUGAAACAAAAUGAACACAAUGAGCUUACCUCAAUAAUCUCUUCAAAAACCCUCUUAAAAACCUCCAAAAUCAGAGCUCAAAAUUAGAAAUGGCAAAAAAUUUCGGAACCUCGCUUGUAUAGGUUCUACCCAAGAAUUUCCGCACCUGCGAAGCCUGGGCUCACGCAUGC
rnacentral:lncRNA from 1 species